UUAUGAGUAUCGUGUAGCACCAUAUGUUGGGCUGGAAGAUACCCGAAUUUGUGGGCGUCACAGGUUGGUAUCAAAGCAUUAGGUUAUAAAACUUAAGGGGGGAAGAACCUUAGGCUAAUAACCUCGUAAGGAAGGUAAAGUCCAAAGAAAGAAAUUCGAGUUGAAUGAAUUAAUAAAGUAUUGAGAAAACUCAGUACUGUGAUUUGUGCUUAUACUAUUG
rnacentral:lncRNA from 1 species